rnacentral:misc_RNA from 1 species
UUUCCGUUGGUGAACCAGCGGAGGGAUCAUUACAGAGUUGCAAAACUCCCAACCCUUGUGAACAUACCCGUUACAGUUGCUUCGGCGGGCAGCCCCAGGGCGGGGCUGCAGCCUCUUCUCACGAGGCGCCCGCCGGAGGUAUAUAACUCUUUGUAUUUGUUGGUCUCUCUGAGUAAAUUUAUAAUAAGUCAAAACUUUUAACAACGGAUCUCUUGGUUCUG